rnacentral:rRNA from 1 species
AUGAGGGGAGAUCGCAUCAACGAUCCUGUGAACAUUAGCUCUGAUGAGAACGCGGACAGCAGCUCUGAUGAAGCUGUGGACACGAGCUCUGAUGAACCCGCGUACACCAGCUCUGAUGAAGGUGUGGACAUGAGCUCUGAUGAACGGGCGUACAGCAGCUCUGAUGAUGGCGUGGACACAAGCUCUGAUGAAGGUAUUUUUAGUAAUGGCAUGUGCUACCGUAUGAAGAAAAAGAAGCUUCAGAAGACGUGCAAGGAUGUGUGUGACUGCCCUAGAGAGUACUCAGUUGGAUAUGAUCCUAAUUCUGAAGCCGACUAG